GUUUCAGUGAACAGAGAUCGCACCGGUGCCUGGACAACAAAGAGACUACGGAAAAGAAGAGUGACUAAGAUCUCUGAAGAAGGGAAAAGCUAGAUGACUGGGCCACAAGAGGAAAAAAAGCAGCAAGACAGAGAUUUGUUGGUGCCAACUAAAUGAGCCUAACAGCCAGUGACAACAGAACUGCACUAAAAAAAGUCCCUCAUCAGCUCUUGAGAGCAGGUUCCUUAAAGAGAAUGAGUAGCCACUGCUGUUUGCCCUGGCCCAUCAAUGAGAAGAUCUGCUCUUAGAGCCCUGCUUUCCUGCUGAAGGCCCCGAAAUCACCUGUGUUCCAGGCCACCCGCUAACAAUAAAUAAUGCUCCCCUGAUGUGGGGAAUUAGCUCAAGUGGUAGAGCGCUUGCUUAGCAUGCAAGAGGUAGUGGGAUCGAUGCCCACAUUCUCCAAGCUUUAUUAUUUAGACAUCGUGUCUCCAAACACUCAGGUCUCCAAACCCAAGUUAGUGUCUGAGAACAGGAUGCUGCUUUGGUUCAAGACGUAGGAGCAGCAAUAAUAGAGGGCUGGUGAUGGCUCCCUCUUGGCAUUCAGUAUAGUGUAGAUCUACCAUGUAAUUAAUUCUCUGUUUCUUUGAGGAGCUGUGAAACCAAGGGACAUAUACAACUGCUCUUUUCUCCCUGUUUCUACCUGCAGCUUUGUCCUAAAUGUGAGACAAUUAUGAAAAGUGCAGGGCAGAGCCACUUGGGUAAAUACAGCCCCGGCUUUCUGCUCAGGGGACAGAGUUUGAGGCACUGCAGAGGAACCAGCCAAAGUAUGAGACCCAUAUGUUGAGAGUGACAGUGUAAAGUUCAAAAAAAUCAAAAUGUUUAAAGAUUUAUCAUGGGUCUUGAUGACAUGAUGGAAUCUCUCUACUCUCUGGACUGAUUAUGUGUGGUAAUAAAUUUACUUUUUAAAAGCCA
rnacentral:tRNA from 1 species